UCGGGAAUUUUGGGCAAUGGGGGAAACCCUGAUCCAGCGACGCCGCGUGUGUGAAGAAGGCCUGCGGGUUGUAAAGCACUUUCGGUGGGAACGAAAUAUGCCGGGCUAAUACCCCGGUAGGCUGACGUUACUCAAUGAAGAAGCACCGGCUAACUCUGUGCCAGCAGCCGCGGUAAUACGUAGGGUGCGAGCGUUAAUCGGAAUUACUGGGCGUAAAGCGUGCGCAGGCGGUUUGGUAAGACAGAUGUGAAAUCCCCGGGCUUAACCUGGGAACUGCAUUUGUGACUGCCAGACUAGAGUGUAGCAGAGGGGGGUAGAAUUCCACGUGUAGCAGUGAAAUGCGUAGAUAUGUGGAGGAAUACCGAUGGCGAAGGCAGCCCCCUGGGCUAACACUGACGCUGAGGUACGAAAGCUAGGGGAGCGAACGGGAUUAGAUACCCUUGUAGUCCCUGAGCGGGCUGGCAAGGCGCAU
rnacentral:rRNA from 1 species